UCCCUGGUGGUCCAGUGGUUAGGACUUGCUGCUUUUACUGCUAAGAGCCCAGGUUCAAUAUCUGGUUGGGGAA
rnacentral:tRNA from 1 species